rnacentral:rRNA from 1 species
CAACUUUCAACAACGGAUCUCUUGGCUCUCGCAUCGAUGAAGAACGCAGCGAAAUGCGAUAAGUAAUGUGAAUUGCAGAAUUCAGUGAAUCAUCAAAUCUUUGAACGCACCUUGCGCUCCUUGGUAUUCCGAGGAGCAUGCCUGUUUGAGUGUCAUUA